GAUGAACGCUAGCGGCAGGCCUAAUACAUGCAAGUCGAACGGUGUCUUCGGACAUAGUGGCGCACGGGUGCGUAACACGUAUGCAACCUACUCUACAUUGGGGGAUAGCCUUUCGAAAGGGAGAUUAAUACCGCAUAAGACAGUAGCUGGGCAUCAAGCAGGUGUUAAAGAUUUAUCGAUGUAAGGUGGGCAUGCGUCCAAUUGGCUAGUUGGUGAGGUAACGGCUCACCAAGGCAAUGAUGGGUAGAGGAACUGAGAGGUCAACCCCCCACACUGGCACUGAGAUACGGGCCAGACUCCUACGGGAGGCAGCAGUAGGGAAUAUUGGGCAAUGGACGCAAGUCUGACCCAGCCAUACCGCGUGCAGGAUGAAGGCGUUAUGCGUUGUAAACUGCUUUUAUACAGGAAGAAACGACUCUUGCGAGAGGCAUUGACGGUACUGUAUGAAUAAGCACCGGCUAACUCCGUGCCAGCAGCCGCAGUAAUAC
rnacentral:rRNA from 1 species